AGUGAACGCUGGCGGUAGGCCUAACACAUGCAAGUCGAACGGCAGCACAGUAAGAGCUUGCUCUUACGGGUGGCGAGUGGCGGACGGGUGAGGAAUACAUCGGAAUCUACUUUUUCGUGGGGGAUAACGUAGGGAAACUUACGCUAAUACCGCAUACGACCUACGGGUGAAAGCAGGGGAUCUUCGGACCUUGCGCGAUUGACUGAGCCGAUGUCGGAUUAGCUAGUUGGCGGGGUAAAGGCCCACCAAGGCGACGAUCCGUAGCUGGUCUGAGAGGAUGAUCAGCCACACUGGAACUGAGACACGGACCAGACGCCUACGGGAGGCAGCAGUGGGGAAUAUUAGACAAUGGGCGCAAGCCUGGUCCAGCCAUACCGCGUGGGUGAAGAAGGCCUUCGGGUUGUAAAGCCCUUUUGUUGGGAAAGAAAAGCAGCAGGUUAAUACCCCGCUGUUCUGACGGUACCCAAAGAAUAAGCACCGGCUAACUUCGUG
rnacentral:rRNA from 1 species